rnacentral:lncRNA from 1 species
GCCCCGUGGCCUGUCCCUGCAAGUGCUUCUAUUGCCACACAACAGCCACAUGUUGCCGCAUGUAGUGCUAUGAGGGAGGCACUGAUCCAAAUGUAACGUCAGACAAAUCAUGCAUUUCCAGACUACAGUUACUUUAAGAUUAAAGCUUUUGAAUACGAUAAGCUAGAUGUCACACAAAUACCUAAACAGAUAUCACCAGCGUAUCAAUCGCCUGUUGUAUGUAACUUACAG